GCAAAUGAGGUAUGAACGGACUUCUAAUCCGUAGGUCGCAGGUUCGAAUCCUGCCAGGCGCGCCA
rnacentral:tRNA from 1 species